rnacentral:rRNA from 1 species
UGGGGAAUAUUGGACAAUGGGCGCAAGCCUGAUCCAGCCAUGCCGCGUGGAUGAUGAAGGCCCUAGGGUUGUAAAGUCCUUUCGGCGGGGAAGAUAAUGACGGUACCCGCAGAAGAAGCCCCGGCUAACUUCGUGCCAGCAGCCGCGGUAAUACGAAGGGGGCUAGCGUUGCUCGGAAUCACUGGGCGUAAAGCGCACGUAGGCGGCUUUUUAAGUCAGGGGUGAAAUCCUGGAGCUCAACUCCAGAACUGCCUUUGAUACUGAGAAGCUUGAGUCCGGGAGAGGUGAGUGGAACUGCGAGUGUAGAGGUGAAAUUCGUAGAUAUUCGCAAGAACACCAGUGGCGAAGGCGGCUCACUGGCCCGGUACUGACGCUGAGAUGCGAAAGCGUGGGGAGCAAACAGG